rnacentral:rRNA from 1 species
AGUGAACGCUGGCGGUAGGCCUAACACAUGCAAGUCGAACGGCAGCACAGUAAGAGCUUGCUCUUACGGGUGGCGAGUGGCGGACGGGUGAGGAAUACAUCGGAAUCUACUUUUUCGUGGGGGCUAACGUAGGGAAACUUACGCUAAUACCGCAUACGACCUACGGGUGAAAGCAGGGGAUCUUCGGACCUUGCGCGAUUGAAUGAGCCGAUGUCGGAUUAGCUAGUUGGCGGGGUAAAGGCCCACCAAGGCGACGAUCCGUAGCUGGUCUGAGAGGAUGAUCAGCCACACUGGAACUGAGACACGGUCCAGACACCUACGGGAGGAAGCAGUGGGGAAUAUUGGAGGAUGGGGGAAAGCCGGAUCCAGCAAUACCGCGUGGGUGAAGAAGGCCUUCGGGUUGUAAAGCCCUUUUGUUGGGAAAGAAAAGCAGCAGGUUAAUACCCCGCUGUUCUGACGGUACCCAAAGAAUAAGCACCGGCUAACUUCGUG